ensembl:lncRNA
GUCUUCAGGGUUAUGACUGCUCUGAGUAUCUGUCCUCCUAGAGGUCUUCAGGGGUUAUGACUGCUCUGAGUGUCUGUCCUCCUAGAGGUCUUCAGGGGUUAUGACUGCUCUGAGUAUCUGUCCUCCUAGAGGUCUUCAGGGGUUAUGACUGCUCUGAGUAUCUGUCCUAGAGGUCUUCAGGGGUUAUGACUGCUCUGAGUAUCUGUCCUCCUAGAGGUCUUCAGGGGUUAUGACUGCUCUGAGUGUCUGUCCUCCUAGAGGUCUUCAGGGGUUAAGACUGCUCUGAGUAUCUGUUCCCCUGGAGGUCUUCAGGGGUUAUGACAGUCAGAGUUAAUAGUGGAAAGGGUGCUACAGGUCGCUCUGGUGCCUCUAGUGGUAGGGAGGCCACUGUAUGUAUACAGUAAUCAUGCUUUAUAGUAAUGGCAAUAUUUAUCUCUCUCUAUAUAUAUAUAUAGUGCAUUCCAAGACUGUCUUAAACUAAAAAAAAAAACUCCUUAGAAGGAAGAGGGUUUUACCGGUAAGCGGAUCUAUCGUCGCUUCUAUAAGCUAAAAGCCUUUCUUUAAAAAAAUGUAUUUGCGAAAAAUGUAAAAAAUGUAUUUGCGAUUUUUCUUUUUAAAAGGUAUUGACGAGUGGUUGUGUAAAAUGGAGCUGGAGCUAAGUGGAGGGAGUAAGGAAUGUUUUCAACCUGCAGGUCAGGUGUGUUUGAUGAUAAGGUGAGUUCGGUGUGUUUGGUUGAAACAAGCGAAGCUGAGUUUGGUUGAUCUUUGUUGUGACGAUAGUGUUUUAAGAUAAUAUCAGCAUGAUAAUAUCCGCCUUCUCUGCUCGCUUGAAUGUCUGACCUGAUCUUAGUAACCUUUGUUAGACUUUGGGCUCAAUCUAUCGAUCGGUCAAGUGAUCGAUCAAGUAGUCUGGUCAGUGUUAAGAGUCCAACCCUGAGGGACAAACGGAAUCUCAGGUAAACCCAAACAUGGUGGAUGAGGCUGAUGAAUCGUCCAAUAUUUCUCUGUAGUAAAGGAAUGUUUCAUAUCAUAUAAUAAUAUUGACUGUUUUUCUGCCAAAACAUGAACACCCAGUGAGCAAAAAUGGGUUGAAAGGAUGUCUUUUUUAACUUGUUUUCCUCACUGCAUUUACUAUGUAUUAUGUACAGUUGAAGUGGGAAGUUCACAUACACCUUUAGCCAAAUACAUUUAAACUCAGUUUUUCACAAUUCCUGACAUUUAUAAUCCUAGUAAAAAUUCCCUGUUUUAGAUCAGUUAGGAUCACUACUUAAUUUUAAAUAAUGUGAAAUGUCAGAAUAAUAGGAGAGAUAAUGAUUUAUUUCAGCUUUUAUUUCUUUCAUCACAUUCCCAGUGGGUCAGAAGUUUACAUACACUCAAUUAGUAUUUGGUAGCAUUGCCUUUAAAUUGUUUAACUUGGGUCAAAUGUUUCGGGUAGCCUUCCACAAGCUUCCCACAAUAAGUUGGGUGAAUUUUGGCCCAUUCCUCCUGACAGAGCUGGUGUAACUGAGUCAGGUUUGUAGGCCUCCUUGCUCGCACACGCUUUUUUAGUUCUGCCCAAAGAUUUUAUAUAGGAUUGAGGUCAGGGCUUUGUGAUGGCCACUCUAAUACCUUGAGUUUGUUGUCCUUAAGCCAUUUUGCCACAACUUUGGAUGUAUGCUUGGGGUCAUUGUCCAUUUGGAAGACACAUUUGCGACCAAGCUUUAACUUCCUGACUGAUGUCUUGUGGAUAUAUUGAAGCAACAUCUCAUCAUUUUCUUUCCACAUGAUGCCAUCUAUUUUGUGAAGUGCACCAGUCCCUCCUGCAGCAAAGCACCCCCACAACAUGUACUGCUACCCCCAUGCUUCACAGUUGGGAUGGUGUUCUUCGGCAUGUAAGCCUCCCAUUUUCGGCUUCGGCUUGUAAGCCUCCCAUGCAAGCCUCCCUCGUUUUACUGUGGAUAUAGAUACUUUUGUACCUGUUGCCUCCAGCAUCUUCACAAGGUCAUUUGCUGUUGUUCUGGGAUUGAUUUGCACUUUUCUCACCAAAGUACGUUCAUCUCUAGGAGACAGAACGCGUCUCCUUCCUGAGCGGUAUGAUGGCUGCGUGGUCCCAUGGUCCCAUUUAUACUUGCGUGCUAUUGUUUGUACAGAUGAGCGUGGUACCUUCAGGUGUUUGGAAAUUGCUCCCAAGUAUGAACCAGACUUGUGGAGGUCUACAAUUGUUUUUCUGGGGUCUUGGCUGAUUUCAUUUGAUUUUUCCAUGAUGUCAAGCAAAGAGGCACUGAGUUUGAAGGUAGGCCUUGAUAUACAUCCACAGGUACACCUCCAAUUGACUCAAAUGAUGUCAAUCAGCCUAUCAGAAGCCAUGACAUAAUUUUCUGGAAUUUUCCAAGCUGUUUAAAGGCUCAGUCAACUUAGUGAAUGUAAACCUCUGACCCACUGGAAUUGUGAUACAGUGAAUUAUAAGUUAAAUAAUCUCUGUAAACAAUUGUUUGAAAAAUGACUUGUGUCAUGCACAAAGUAGAUGUCCUAAUGACUUGCCAAAACUAUAGUUUGUUAACAAGAAAUGUGUGGAGUGGUUGAAAAAACGAGUUAAUGACUCCAACCUAAGUGGAUGUAAACUUCCCACUUCAACUGUAUGUCUUAUUUUUAAUGUCAGUAAGCCAAGGUAGCCCAGGGUUCCCUUCUAUAUACUUCUGUCUACUCGUCUUUUCUUUGUCAAUGAAUGUCUCUAUUAAUCAAAGGAACAUUAUGUAUUAGUAACUAAUUAUAAUGAGUUAAUGAUGUCCCUCUUUUUUUUCUCUCUGUUCAACAUUAACCACUGAAGUCUACUAUUCUCUGAAACCCAGAUAAGCUAGUCUGUUUGAUUUCUAAAAAAAAAUGUUCUUGGCCACAUAAAAUGUGUUUGUUAAUCAUGACUUGUAAUGUCUGCUGUGCUAUAAGUACCUCUGCUCAUUGUAGUAUAAGCUACUCUUUACAUAUGGUGUGUAUAACUGAAAGCUGCACUUCCUGGUCACUUCCUUUGAUUUCAUGUAUUUUCCAAGAAGUGGAACAACUAUGGUAAUGUGCUUUCAAGUUCAUUUUCUGUCAAUUCUUUGCUCUUGGUCGAGAGCUUGGGUUUUUUUUGGGGGGGGUUGAAACUAAAUGAUUAUUAUGCAUAUGAAACAUAAUUCUCUGCAUGUGUUUUCCCUUCUUAAAAAUGACAUAGACAGUGUUUUAGGAAACACUUUGUCUCCAAUAUGGAUUUAGCCCUUUAGCCACUGGCCCAAGGCCAUUCUCUAUUGGUCACCAAGACAUUUCUGUUAUCACAGGGCCUGAAUCCUAACUUUACUGACAUAUCCCUAACUCUGUGACCUCUCCAUAAAUCAUACAUUUAAGUAAAUAGGAAAGAUAAGGCAGGUUAAGCUCAGAUGACCCUCCCCACACCCCUAUACAAGCCCGCCUACAUUUGACCUCCUAAUGCCAAAGGUUAUGCCAAGGUACAGACGAGUGGUGAGGUUGACUCAUUUAGGAACCAGUAGACAUGUACUGGUUACAGUGCAUUUGGAAAAUAUUCAGACCCCUUUACUUUUUUCCACAUUUUGUUACAUUACAGCUUAUUCUAAAAUUGAUUUUUUUUAAAUCCCCUCAUUAAUCUACACACAAUACCACAUAAUAACAAAGGAAAAAGUUGUUGUUAAAAAAAAACUGAAAUAUUACAUUUACAUAAGUAUUCAGACCCUUUACUCAGUACUUUGUUGAAGCACCUUUGGCAGCGAUUACAGCAUCGAUUCCUCUUGGAUAUGACGCUACAAGCUUGGCACACCUGUAUUUGUGGAGUUUCUCCCAUUCUUCUCUGCAGAUCCUCUCAAGCUCUGUGAAGUUGGAUGGGGAGUUUGAUGCACAGCUAUUUUCAGGCCUCUCCAGAGAUGUUCGAUAGGAUUCAAGUCCGGGCUCUGGCUGGGCCACUCAAGGACAUUCAGAGACUUGUCCCAAAGCCACCCUUGCAUUGUCUUGGCUAUGUGCUUAGGGUCAUUGUCCUGUUGAAAGGUUAACCUUCACCCUAGUCUGAGGUUCUGAGUGCUCUGGAGCAGGUUUUCAUCAAGGAUCUCUCUGUACUUCGCUUUGUAAAUCUUUCGAUACUGACUAGUCUCCCAGUCCCUGCUGCUGAAAAACAUCCCCGGAGCAUGAUGCUGCCACCACCAUGCUUCACCAUAGGGAUAGUGCCAGGUUUUCUCUAGACGUGACGCUUGGCAUUCAGGCCAAAGAGUUCAAUCUUGGUUUCAUCAGACUAGAGAAUCUAGUUUCUAAUGCUCUGAGAGUCCUUAACUCCAAGCGGGCUGUGAUGUGCCUUUUUAUUGAGGAGUGUCUUCCGUCUGGCCACUCUACCAUAAAGGCCAGAUUGGUGGAGUGCUGCAGAGAUGGUUGUCUUUCUGGAAGUUUCUCCCAUCUCCACAGAGGAACUCUGGAGCUCUGUCAGAGUGACCUUCUCCCCGAUUGCAGCCAGCUCUAGGAAGAGCCUUGGUUGUUCCAAACUUCUUCCAUUUAAGAAUGAUGGAGGCCACUCUUCUUGGGGACCUUCAAUGCUGCAGAAAUGUUUUGUUACCCUUCCCCAGAUCUGUGCCUCGACAUAAUCCUUUCUCGACGCUCUAUGUACAAUACCUUCGACCUCAUGGCUCGGUUUUUGCUCUGACAUGCACUGUCAACUGUGGGACCUUAUGUAGACAGGUGUGUGCCUUUCCAAAUCAUGGCCAAUCAAUUGAUUUUACCACAGGUGGACUCCCAAGUUGUAGAAACAUCUCAAGGAUGAUAAAUGAAAACAGGAUGAACCUGAACUCAAUUUUGAGUCUCAUAGCACAGGGUCUGAAUACGUAUGUAAAUAAGCUAUUUCUGUUUUUUUUGUUUGUAAUAAAUUAGCAAAAAAAUGUUUAAACCUGUUUUGUUAUCAUGGGGUAUUGUGUAUAGAUAGAUGAUUAAAAAAAAUAUAUAUAUAUUCAAUUUUAGAAUGUGGAAAAAGUCAAGGGGUCUGAAUACUUUCCGAAAUUUAUGUCCCCUGACUUAUCCCUGUUAUAACACCUGUUAUACCACUGCGUAGGUUACCUCAUUAGCUUGAUUUAGUAUAUUGUAUGGGAUUUGGGAGUAGCCUCGAUCAGGACUCUAUACUGGGUCCAGCCGUUGUGCUGUUUGUUAUGCCGAUGACCCCUUGAUGAGGUUGUUCGGUGUCGGGUUAAAGUCGCUGCAAUAUCUACUGUAACUUUAGCCAAGUAGCCUAACCUGCAAUUUCUACAGUAACUUUUUCUAAGUCGCUGACUGGCAGUAUCUACAGUAACUUUAGCCAAGUAGCCUGACCUCUGGGUUAGGGAGGUUAUAAAGUCAGCGGUCGUACACAAAACGACCGUUGUUAUGACUGUUUUAUGACACCUCUUAUGUUAUUGCUACGACAGCGUUAUGUAGACCGGAUGAUAAGAGGAGCGUAAAGUAGCGUUACCCUGUUGUUUAUAGCAGUGCAAUAACAACAGAUUAGGGUUGCUACGGUAACUUUCCCCCUAAACUCCCCAGGUUUUUCCAGUAAUCCUGGUUUGGGGACAUUCCUGAAAAUUUAGGAGAGCAUUUAGGAGAGCAUUUAGGAGAGCAAUUCCGAGAAUUCUGCAACCAGGCCUUUCUGUAAAAACCAGGGAAUGUUAGGAAAGUUACUGUUAACCUACUACAGACCCAGUCUCCGAGGGGGGUUGGGUUGCCGCUACACACAUUCUAAGGCUCGCUAUAGGACCAGGAUUAAAUGAAGAAUAAGAUGAUCCUAGAUCAAGUUACCCACUGACACCGAUAUCAAGUCAGUUAUGUGUCCCUCCGCCAUAAUGUUUAAUGGAAGGUAGUCUGAUCCUAUACUGAACACAAAUAUAAACGCAACUUGCAACAAUUUGUAAACGUUUUUACUGAGAUACAGUUUAUAGAAGGAAAUCUGUCAAUAGGCCCUAAUCUAUGGAUUUCGGCAAGGGAGCAGCCACUGGUGGGCCUGGGAGGGUCAGCCAAUCAGAAUUUGUUUGUUUUUUUUCCCACAAAAGAGCUUUACAGAAAUACUCCUGAGUACCCCCCGUUCUCAGACGAUCCCGCAGGUGAAGAAGCCGGAUGUGGAGGUCCUUAGCUGACAUGGUUACAUGUGGUCUGCGGUUGUGAGGCCGGUUGGACGUACUGCCAAAUUCUCUACAACAACAUUGGAGGUGGCUGAUGGUAGAGAAAUGAACGUUCAAUUCUCUGGCAACAGCUCUGGUGGACAUUCCUGCAGUCAGCAUGCCAAUUCCACGCUCCCUCAAACUUCAAGACAUCUGUGUUAUUGUGUUGUGACCAAAUUGCACAUUUUAGAUUGGCCUUUUAUUGUCCCCAGCACAAGGUGCACCUGUGUAAUGAUCAUGCUGUUUAAUCAGUUUCUUGAUAUGUCACACCUGUCAGAUGGAUCGAUUAUCUUGGCAAAGGAGAAAUGCUCACUAACAGGGAUGUAAACAAAUUUGUGCAGAAAACUUGAGAGAGAAAUAAGCUUUUUGAGCAUCUGGAACAUUUCUGGGAUAUUUUAAUUUCAGCUCUUCAAACAUGGGACCAACACUUCACAUGUUGUGUUCAUAUUCUAGUUAAGUAUAGAUCUAUAUUAAGGGGCUCUCCGUAUGGACGGACCCUUAAAGCUCUUCUUUUCUGUCUGCUUUUACCUGUCAACAAAUAAAUAAAUAAAAU